rnacentral:tRNA from 1 species
AGCUCAGUUGGUAGAGCGCUGCCUUUGCAAGGCAGAUGUCAGGAGUUCGGUACUUAUC